rnacentral:tRNA from 7 species
GGGGAGGUUCCCGAGUGGACAAAGGGAACAGACUGUAAAUCUGUCGCCAGACGGCUUCGGAGGUUCGAAUCCUCCCCUCCCCACCA